rnacentral:rRNA from 1 species
GAUUUACUGGGCGUAAAGGGCGCGUAGGCGGUCGUGACAAGUCACUUGUGAAAUCUCCGGGCUUAACUCGGAACGGUCAAGUGAUACUGUCGGACUAGAGUACAGAAGGGGCAACUGGAAUUCUCGGUGUAGCGGUGAAAUGCGUAGAUAUCGAGAGGAACACCUGCGGCGAAGGCGGGUUGCUGGGCUGAUACUGACGCUGAUGCGCGAAAGCCAGGGGAGCGAACGGGAUUAGAUACCCCGGUAGUCCUGGCCUUAAACGAUGAAUGCUUGGUGUCUCGGGUUACAUAGUCCCGGGGUGCCGUCGCUAACGCUUUUAGCAUUCCGCCUGGGGAGUACGGUCGCAAGACUGAAACUCAAAGGAAUUGACGGGGACCCGCACAAGCGGUGGAGCAUGUGGUUUAAUUCGACGCAACGCGAAGAACCUUACCUGGGCUAGAAUGCCUCUGACAACCUGAGAGAUCAGGCCUUCUGGGUAAAACCAGACAGAGUGCAAGGUGCUGCAUGGCU